rnacentral:tRNA from 1 species
UAUGAAUUGCCUGAUUAAAGGGGUAUCUUGAUAGGGUAAGUUAAGUAUAUAGUGUAUAUUCAUAA